CUGCGACCAGGCUGCGGCGUCGCAGAAUGGAGUAGCCAUGGAGUGAAGAGUGCCAACACUAGUCUCCCAAGUUUUUGAGGUGAAAAAAAUACGUUUUGCCCAAGUUUGACGUGACUGUAAACGCACUGCAGACCUACAGCGUGGCAGUUAUGGGACUGAAAGUUGAGUCUUGUGCCAAAUGAAUGCCACGGGCUGUGCCUCUCUUACUGUUGAUGCGUCAGUGUUUUUCAACACCAAAUUUGAA